UGUUACGACAUAGGUUAGAUGUCAUGCAUAUUGAAAAAAACAUACGUGAUAGCUUGCUUGAGACUUUGAUGAAUAUUGAAGGAAAAACGAAAGACAUGACAAAUGCCCGUUUGGAUCUUGAAUAUUUGAAUAUACGAAAGGACUUACACUUAUAAAAAGAAUGAUCUAAAUUUGUAAAACCACAUGUAACAUAUACUUUUACUAGAAGUGAGAAGAUAACUUUUUGUAAGUUCUUGAAAUCAGUUAAGUUUCCUUAUAGGUUUGCCUCAAAUAUAUCACGAUGUGUUAGUGUGAAUGAAGAAAAAUUAUGGGGAUUAAAGACUCACGACUCUCGAAUUCUACUCCAGCGACUUAUUCCUAUUGGUGUUCGAGCAUACUUACGAAAAGAUGUGUAUACACCUAUUGUGGAGCUAUGUAAGUUUUUUUCGUGAUUUAUGUGCGAAAGUAAUAUGUGUCACAGACUUGGACCGAUUGCAAUCCGAUAUUGUACUCAUAUUAUAUAAGUUUGAAAAAAAAUUUCUACCGGUUUUUUUUUAUGUAAUGGUUCAUCUUGUUGUUCACUUACCUUACGAAGCAAAGGUCGUUGGACCGAUUACGUAUAGUUGGAUGUAUCCUACUGAGAGAAGCUUACAAACCUUGAAACAAUAUGUAAGAAACAAAGCUCGUCCCAAAGGUUCAAUAGCAGAAGGAUUUAUCAUGAAAGAAUCUUUGGCUUUUUGUUCCAUGUAUCUAUCUGAAAUAGAAACUAGAUUCAAUAAGGAGCCACGUAACGAUGAUUCAAUUCUCCAUGACCCAAGUUGUGAAUAUUUUGAUGUGUUUAGGCAAAAUAUACGACCAUUAGGGGGGUCAAUUGCGAAGACGCUAACUAAAAUGAGAAACGAAUGGCACAUUGGUACGUAUUGAACAACAACUCUGAGAUAACAUCUUAUCAUAGGUAUGUUUCAAAUCCUAUAUGUUUAGUUAAUAUCCUUAGUUUUCAAAGUCAAUAUUAUAUCUAGUGUUAAAUUUAUGACUAGAGAACAUUUGAAACUGAUUCAUACUUGAUCAGACACAACAUCAAAAUUAUCUCAAAGGCAUCAAUCACAAUUCUCUACUUGGUUCAAAGAUCAUGUUUACUCACUGCAUCAAAGAGAAGAAGCAUCUGAUGAUCUUUACUCAAUAUCACUUGGUCCUUCUAAUCAAGUUCGCUCUUACAAGGGUUACAUUGUCAAUGGAGUUCGCUUUCACUGUAUUGAUCGUGACAAUAAAAGAUCAACUUAAAAUAGUGGCAUUAUGGUGUCUGGAGAAACAGAAUGAGUUGAAACUAAUUACUAUGAUAUACUAGUUGAUGUAUUGGACUUAGAAUAUAGCAAUGGAAGACGUGUGAUCCUUUUCAAAUGUAGGUAGUUUGACACAGACCCUAAGAAAAAUAAAGUACGACAGGAUUUAGGGUUCAUGUCAAUAAAUACAUCUCAUUAUUGGUAUACAUAUGAACCCUUCAUCUUUGCAACUCAAGCCAAACAAGUUUUAUGGUUUUAAUAUAUUAGUUUCAUAUGUGUACUUAUCAUAACUUUUAUUGAAAAUGUAGACACAUUUUAUUGUGGAUCUAUCUUUGAAUGUCGUCAAUAAGUACAUAAAUUGACAAAUACAUAACUCAUUUAGAGAAUAUAGGUCAAAACUGCAUAAGCACUAUUAUAGCUUUAGGAAUCCUGUAAUUGCUCGUGAAAGUCCACCAGAUGUUAACAAAUAAAGAAGAUUGGAAGAUUCUUUAUGAUCGAUGGGAGAAUCCUGAAUGGCAGGAAAAAAAAGGAGAAUAACAAGAAGAGUAGAGAAUGUCUCAGUUUCAACCAUUAUUGUGGGUCAAAAUUCUUUCUUCAAGUGCAAAAUGAAUUGACGAUUGAGAAGAGUGAAAAAGUAGGCCAAGUAGAAAAUGUUUUACAAAAGUCAUUUCUCAAAGAAAGAUAGGUGGAUAAGCGAAGCCGCCAAAGAAGCAUAUAGGACAUUAGAAAAUCAUCACAAGAUGGGGUUGAACCAACAACGGAGGAAAUUAUUUGUGAAGGGGUUUUGGGAAAAUGAUCAGGUCACACUAAAGGUCUUGGAUGGAACCCAAAACCAAAUUUAGCUACAUCUUCCUCAAAUUAAGAGAGAUACUGGGAAUAACUAUGAAAAGCUUGAGGUGGAGGUCACAAGAGGAGGAAAAUGUCAUGUUGAAGUCAAUAGUUUCGGGUUUUCAAGAUCAAUUGACUGAAAUCACAAGACAGUUAGUUGUGCAACAAAAGCAAGAAGAUAGACCUUUGAACAACUAGGUUGUUCGUGUAAAUUCUUAAAGAUCAUUUUUUGGAGAUUGCGAGAAGAAUUUGUGAGAUGAUUAUUUAGUUUGAUUUAGUAUCUAAUUUAUUUUGGCUUAGGGAAGAUUAAACAUUUUUUUGUAUAGGGGAUUUGUAAGAAGUUAGAAAAGCUCAAAUUUAAUUGUAUAUACAGUUUUUGUCGUAGAAUUUUAUAGCUUGUGUAUUGAGUAUUAGUCUUAUUUUUAAAUAUAUAAGCUUACUUUUGUUA